rnacentral:rRNA from 1 species
UACGGUGGGUGCGAGCGUUGUCCGGAAUCAUUGGGCGUAAAGCGCACGUAGGCGGUUCGUUAUGUCGGAUGUGAAAGCCCUUGGCUUAACCGAGGAAGUGCAUCCGAAACUGGCGAGCUAGAGUACUAAAGAGGAUCGCGGAAUUCCCGGUGUAGAGGUGAAAUUCGUAGAUAUCGGGAGGAACACCGGUGGCGAAGGCGGCGAUCUGGGUAGAUACUGACGCUGAGGUGCGAAAGCGUGGGGAGCAAACAGG